rnacentral:rRNA from 1 species
ACGCACGCUGGCGGCGCGCUUAACACAUGCAAGUCGAACGGAAAGGCCUGCUUUCCCUUGUGGAUUGCGGGUACUCGAGUGGCGAGCGGGUGAGUAACACGUGAGUGAUCUGCCCCCAACUUGGGUAUAAGCCUGGGAAACUGGGUCUAAUUCCCGAUAGGACUGCAGGGUGGUGCCUGUGGUGGAAAACGAUUUUCUAGUGGUUGGGGAUGAGCUCGCGGCCUAUCAGCUUGUUGGUGGGGUAAUGGCCUACCAAGGCGGCGACGGGUAGCCGGCCUGAGAGGGUGGACGGCCACAUUGGGACUGAGAUACGGCCCAGACUCCUACGGGAGGCAGCAGUGGGGAAUAUUGCACAAUGGGCGGAAGCCUGAUGCAGCGACGCCGCGUGGGGGAUGACGGCCUUCGGGUUGUAAACUCCUUUCGACCGCGAGGAAGCCACCUGGUUGGAAGGGUGGUGACGGUAGUGGUAGAAGAAGCACCGGCUAACUACGUG